AUGACCUCAAGCUUUUGUGCUGUUCUAACAUAGAGUACACGAAGGAUCGAGAUCAGAGAUCAUGAGACUCACAUUGUGGUUUCUUUUAGGAGGGUUGUGUGUUUUUCUCCUCUUUCAUGCAUCCUAUUGCCGUAUCAUGAUCGAAACAAAUGAACUGUCUAGGUUGCAAGGACAACAAUAUCGUUAUCGGCCGUGGAAAAAAUUUGGUCGUGAGUUUGACGAUGAUUUUAGUGAGGCUCAGUCACCACCUAUUGGAGCCAAAGCAAGAAAUCCAUGAACAUUACUGAUUAAUUUGCAAGAGAGAUGUAGCCUCUAUAUGCAACUUAAUUUGCGACCAUUUAUUUGUACCGCACACAGUCUUCUUAAUUUCUUGUAGCUGUGAUAUGCAUGCAUUUGGAAGUUUGCUUCUUUUAUAUAUAGGUCUACUUCGUUAAUUUUGCUUUCAUGCAUGUAACGGUGCUUGUUAGAGAUCAAAUCAAAUCAUUGAUAUGAUUUGAUUAAUAUUAUUAUCAUAAUAAGUAUAUUUAUCGUUUUAAGAAAUUUGAUUUUCAAUAAUAUUUACCUAAUUAUGUCAUAA